UACGUAGGUGGCAAGCGUUGUCCGGAUUUACUGGGCGUAAAGAGCGCGCAGGCGGUCGUAUAAGUCGCGUGUGAAAGCCCCCGGCUCAACUGGGGAGGGUCACGCGAUACUGUUCGACUCGAAGGCAGGAGAGGGAAGCAGAAUUCCCGGUGUAGUGGUGAAAUGCGUAGAUAUCGGGAGGAAUACCAGUGGCGAAGGCGGCUUCCUGGCCUGUUCUUGACGCUGAGGCGCGAAAGCUAGGGUAGCAAACGGG
rnacentral:rRNA from 1 species